UAAGGAAUAUUGGUCAAUGGACGCAAGUCUGAACCAGCCAUGCCGCGUGGAGGAUGAAGGUCCUCUGGAUUGUAAACUUCUUUUAUCUGGGAAGAAACCCAUGGAUUCUUCUGUGGUUGACGGUACCAGAUGAAUAAGCACCGGCUAACUCCGUGCCAGCAGCCGCGGUAAUACGGAGGGUGCAAGCGUUAUCCGGAUUCACUGGGUUUAAAGGUGCGUAGGGCGGGAUUGGUAAGUCCGUGGUGAAAUCCCCGAGCUUAACUCGGGAACUGCCGUGGAUACUAUCAAUCUUGAAUGCUGUGGAGGUAAGCGGAAUAUGUCAUGUAGCGGUGAAAUGCUUAGAGAUGACAUAGAACACCUAUUGCGAAGGCAGCUUGCUACACAGUAAUUGACGCUGAGGCACGAAAGCGUGGGGAUCAAACAGGAUUAGAUACCCUGGUAGUCCACGCCCUAAACGAUGGAUACUCGACAUCAGCGAUACACUGUUGGUGU
rnacentral:rRNA from 1 species